rnacentral:tRNA from 1 species
GUUAAUAUAGUUUAAUAAAAACAUUAGGUUGUGGACCUAAAAAUAGAAGUUUGACCCUUCUUAUUUA